rnacentral:snRNA from 1 species
CUACUUUGGCAGCACUUAUACUAAAACUGGAACAACACAGAGGAUAUGAGCAUGGUCCCUGUGCAAGGAGGCCACACAAAUUUGUGAAGCAUUCCAUGUUUUU